GAUGAACGCUGGCGGCGCGCUUAACACAUGCAAGUCGAACGGAAACAGGAUGAAGCCUAGCGAUUCCUGUUUUAGUGGCGGACGGGUGAGUAACGCGUGGGUAACCUGCCUUACACUGGGGGAUAACAGUUAGAAAUAGCUGCUAAUACCGCAUAAGCGCACAGGGCCGCAUGGCCUGGUGUGAAAAACUCCGGUGGUGUAAGAUGGACCCGCGUCUGAUUAGCUAGUUGGUGAGGUAACGGCCCACCAAGGCGACGAUCAGUAGCCGGCCUGAGAGGGUGAACGGCCACAUUGGGACUGAGACACGGCCCAAACUCCUACGGGAGGCAGCAGUGGGGAAUAUUGCACAAUGGGGGAAACCCUGAUGCAGCGACGCCGCGUGAGUGAAGAAGUAUUUCGGUAUGUAAAGCUCUAUCAGCAAGGAAGAGAAUGACGGUACUUGACUAAGAAGCCCCGGCUAACUCUGUGCCAGCCGCCGCAGUAA
rnacentral:rRNA from 1 species